AGUACUAAUAUGGUUUAUUAUGAAUUAGGUCAAUUCAUUUUAGCAUAUGAAUUUUGUCUUUGUUCCUUCCCUGUUCUUUUUGUUGUAGCCAUUUCCAUAAUGAGAGAACUAAGUAUCAUGAUAUUUCUUUUGGAAUAUGGAGCUGGAGCAUACAUACUGUAUUAAUGUAUUAUUCAGUGCUUGCCACUCCCUCUCUCUUCUAUCUGUCUAUGAAAAGUGGUUCUAACUUAUCUUACCAAAGCUGGAUUUGCCAUUCCAAAGAGGAAGAUGUCUAUUUUAGGUGACACAUGCUAAGGGGAGAGCUGGGGCACAGAGGCACUAGAGGAGACAGGCAGCCUCCCCUGUAUCUUCAAAUCCAUCAUUGGCUAUGUUAGACAUCUUGUCUUCUAUUACAAAUUUUGAGAACCAAAGACUUAAAAUGGUCCUCUGGGUCAGAGCUGUGCAAUCCUUGAUCCUCAUCCACUGCCUCUGGAUGUCUGAAGCCCGGCAGCAUAGUUCUGUUAUCACUGUGCCAAAUGGAGGAGCGUGGGGCACCUGGGGUGAUGUGGUGCUAUGCCCUCAAGGAUAUGCGUAUGGUUUUUCUAUUAAGGUGUUUCUAUUUUACCAUUCCUGUAUUUGUCUUGUUUGUAACUGGGAACUUCUAAGGUCCUGAGACCAUUUUCAGCACCCCCAAGACUUUAACAUAGUACUCUACCCCUGGUGCUGCUUCAAACCAGAAAAAGCCUAUUUUAGGUGACUUCUAUUUUCAAGAGUUAGAUCUGGCUAAAGAUCAGGUCUAAUUAUUCCAAGCUGUCUAGGGGUGUUCCUUGAAGUGACUGGCUUGACCUUGAAGGAACUGGGGGUGGCAACGGCUGACAGGGAGCUCUGGCGUGGACUGGUCCAUGAGGUCACAAAGAGUCGAAAACGACUGAACGAGUAAAGAAGAAGUCUAGGGGUGUUUGGCAUUUAGAUUUGGAGAGAUGAAAUAUACAACUACAGCACUUUCAAGAUCAUGGAAUUCAAUUCUAAUAUAAAGACCUUCAAAGUGGGAGAGCCCACCACCCCCAGAAAUAAUCUAUUCUAGUCUUCAACAGGUCUUACUGGGAUUUGUUUAAAUUAUUUUAAGUGUAUGUAUGUAUAGGGGUUUGGGGACAAUCUUAAGGUACUGGGAUGCUAUAAUGUGUGAUCUGUGGGCCAUACUUUGCAUUUCCCCGAUCUAUAAAUACACCUUUUUUCAGUAUAGGUUAAACUCAUGCUAGGCCUAUGGCAAAACAAUUUCAAAACUGUUGCAUAUCUGCCAAUAAUCUUGGUUUAAGUUAAUACAUUUCUGUGUCCAGUGAAUAUGUGCAAUUCUAGGUAUAUAUGUUCAACAAUAAUUUGCUUAUGAUAGAACAAGAAUACCCAUUAUAUAUAGGGGUGUGCUAAAUGGCAGAAAUCCGUUUUGAAUUUCAUUUCUAAAUUUGGAUGGUCAAUUGUUUUGUUUUGAAAAUAUUUCAAAAUAGUCGUAUAUGGGUGGUGGUUCAUUUCAAAUCUGAAUUUCAGAAGAUUUGUUAUCGUUUUGUUAGUUUUAUUUCAUUGGAGCAAUGGGGGAACUUCAGAGGCUAAUUUCUCCAUCAUUUUUAUGAAACUUGGGACAUUUACAACUGUAAACCUGACAAGUUUCAAAACAUUUCACUCAUCCACUGAUUUUUAGGAAAAUUUAGAAGAUUUCACAAAUUUUAUUUUAAAAAUCAAAAGAGGUAUCCUCUUAAAUUUCUCCACAGCAACAGAGCAUGAGUAGGGCAUCAUUUCUGCAGUUUCAGAAAAAUUUGGUCAUCCACUGAUUUUUAGGUUUUUUUUUUCAAUUUAAGCAAUUUAAGCACCUUGGUCAAGCACAUUGUCUCAGCUACAGAGAACUUUGGGCUUUCAAUUUUUUUUUUACAGCUUUCAGGAUGAAAGUUGCCACACUUGUAGGAUUUUAAUGUUAACUUGAAUUUUAAGAUUUUUUUUCAAUUGCAGUCUUUUGAGUUGGGUUGGACUAGAUGCCUUUAGUGGUCCUGUAGGGGAAAAUUUAAAGGCUAAUUUCUCUGUCAUUUUUGUGGCUAACAGGACAAAACUUUUCACACUUGUAGUAUACAUUUAUCACAAAUACUGAGUGCCAUUCUGUGGAUGCCAAUACUAAAAGACAAGGGAGUCUUUUUCAAAAGUGAAAUACUCAAGGCGCAAAUGCAAACAGUACCAACAAAGAAAAAAAAAUAAGACAAG
rnacentral:lncRNA from 1 species